GAAACAUGAAGAAGUCGAAAAAGAAGCACGGUUUCAAGAGAAGAGAGUAUUGCGAUGUCCACAAGGGAUAUGAUUUCCAUCGUUUUGAUAGGAUUUCACCAUGUUCACCUCAAACGAUCCACAAAACCUCAGAUAAACUUUCUGAACUAAAAAUAAAAGCGGGGACACGUUGCAGAAGUAUUGAUUUCACUAAGAGUUCAGACAGAUAUGCAAGAUCAAUUAUCCACGACUGAAGAUCAACAUGGUGUGCGCUUGACG